rnacentral:sRNA from 1 species
AGACGACUAUCAGUAGUGUGCUUAGCUG